CUACCAAGGUAUUCUAAGGUGUAUGAUGAAACGAUCUUAGGAUCGUUCUCUCUGCUGAAGUUUAUUCACUGGUUAUAUUUGGAUUUAUCGUUAAUACUUGAAUAAAGAUUAUGGGCAUUAAAUUAGUUCUUAGUUUAAUUGUUCAUAA